UACGUAGGGGGCAAGCGUUGUCCGGAUUUAUUGGGCGUAAAGAGCGUGUAGGCGGCCAGGUAGGUCUGCUGUGAAAACUCGAGGCUCAACCUCGAGACGUCGGCGGAAACCAUCUGGCUAGAGUCCGGAAGAGGAGUGUGGAAUUCCUGGUGUAGCGGUGAAAUGCGCAGAUAUCAGGAAGAACACCUAUGGCGAAGGCAGCACUCUGGGACGGUACUGACGCUGAGACGCGAAAGCGUGGGGAGCGAACAGG
rnacentral:rRNA from 1 species